rnacentral:misc_RNA from 1 species
UCAAACUUGGUCAUUUAGAGGAAGUAAAAGUCGUAACAAGGUUUCCGUAGGUGAACCUGCGGAAGGAUCAUUACAAAGUAUCGGCCGGUCAGCGCCGGCAUGGCCGCUGCAGGCACCGGCGGGGCUCACCCGCCGGUGCUGACAGUUGACCCUUUGUGUAAACCCCUUGUGGUAGCUUUGGUGCUGAACACCUCCCGUGUUUAGGGCCUACCAGCUGUAGCUUUGAAAACCCUUUUUUUUUUUGUGAAAGGAAGUAUUGAUCAAUGUCUGAAGGCGCAGUCGAAUGACAUGCAAAAACUUUCAACAACGGAUCUCUUGGUUCCCGCAUCGAUGAAGAACGCAGC